GACGGAGGGGGCUAGCGUUGUUCGGAAUUACUGGGCGUAAAGAGCGCGUAGGCGGAUUAGUAAGUUGGAAGUGAAAGCCCGGGGCUUAACCUCGGAAUAGCUUUCAAAACUACUAGUCUUGAGUGUAGUAGGGGAUGAUGGAAUUCCUAGUGUAGAGGUGAAAUUCUUAGAUAUUAGGAGGAACACCGGUGGCGAAGGCGGUCAUCUGGGCUACAACUGACGCUGAGGCGCGAAAGCGUGGGGAGCAAACAGG
rnacentral:rRNA from 2 species